UACGGAGGGUGCAAGCGUUAAUCGGAAUUACUGGGCGUAAAGCGUACGUAGGCGGCUUUGUAAGUCGGUUGUGAAAUCCCCGGGCUCAACCUGGGAAUUGCAGUCGAUACUGCAUGGCUGGAGUAUGGUAGAGGGUAGUGGAAUUCCGGGUGUAGCGGUGAAAUGCGUAGAUAUCCGGAGGAACACCAGUGGCGAAGGCGGCUACCUGGACCAAUACUGACGCUGAGGUACGAAAGCGUGGGGAGCAAACAGG
rnacentral:rRNA from 1 species